rnacentral:tRNA from 1 species
UGGGAUAUAGCUCAGUUGGUAGAGUACUUGCCUCACACAGGGCAAGUACUGGGUUUUAUUAAUCCCCAGCAUGACCAAAAAAAAAAAAAAAAAAAGAAUAUUUAUCUUAAAUUCAAAUCUUAAUAGGCCAA